UUUUUUGUUUUGCGACUCCUGCCGCGCCUCCUUGGCAGCCUUUAGGUGUCCGAACUUUCACAGACCUGGAGUCCCCAGCUAGCCGGGGCACGGUAGAUAAAGGACAUUGAUCCUUUCUCUUUAGCUGCAUUUUCAGUUUUUGUAUUGUAAAAUAGAUACAACGUUGUAAAACUUUAUUGAAAGGUGAGGGAGAAAAACGUGUGAUCUCAUAAACUUUCAGAAGCUGUUAUUUCCUUUUUGGCACAGUGCUGCCCAUUCUGACUCUGUGAGGCAUGAUGUGGUGGGAAGAGUAAACUCUGAGACACGUUUAAAGGUGAUCGGUUCCAGGUGAAAAGUUCAAGAACAAAAGAGUGAGUCCAGCAAGAUGAAACUGCAUUGCUAAGCAGGUGCCACCUCCCUUCAGAUCCUUGAGGGUCAGGUCAUGGAAAGCUUCAGAAUGGUAAAGAUCAUGCUGGCUCCCAAGAGGAGAAUGGCUACAGGUAGAGCACUGGGGAGGCCACUGUUACAGUCCAAACAGUGGUAGCUUGGAGCAGAGUGGUAAGAGUAAAGAUGAUGAAAAAUGAAGAGAACCAAUAAGAAUUUUAAGAUUACAACUAACAGAAUAUGAUGGGAUCAUAUUUGGGAAGUAGGGGAGAGAACAAUUUCAAAGACAACUUUUGGAUAUCUGACUUGUACAACUGAUACAUGGUAGUAUAUAUAUAUAUUUUUAACAUAAGAUGCACAGGAAGUGAUCAGGUUUAGGUCACAUAUACAAGUAAGAUCUGGUUUAAACAUUUACCCAGAGCAAUUUGGAGGCAGACUUGCCUGAAUAUUAUGAUAAGUACUUCUAUACUACUAAAUAAGUAUUGUUAUAAAGUAAAUGAAUGAAAAGGAUAAAUUUAAUCAGGAUCAGAACAUGGCCCUUGAGAGAGAUUCUGCUGUGUGCUUUACACUAUACAGUUUAAUUGCUACAGGCAAAUCUGUUUGCUACAAACAAACAGGACCAGAAAUAUGCGCUGGAGACAUUUCACAUCCAACAGUCAAAAUGUUUCUUUGGACAAGAUAAUAUUCAAUAGAAAGGAUGUUAGAUAUAUAGUAAAAUACAAAGAGAAAAAAGCAGUUAAAAUGAAGCAAAAACAUUUAUUUCCAGUGUAUUUGUAUCAUGUUCUAGUACUUUUUUUUUUAUUUUGCACCAUUUUAAAUUCCACUUCAGGUUGACCUCAAAUACUUUUCUCCCCUUCUUCUCAUGAGCCAUUUAAUAAUAGUUUGUUAUGCUGUAAUCAGUUUCCAAUUCAUGACCUUCUCACUAGCUUCAGAACUAAUGCAGAAAGACAUUGCUUCAGUGCAAGAGGAGAGUAACUGCCCUUCAAAAGACUCAUUUCUGGAAAUCCUGUGUUGCCAUUAAGAUGUCAUUAUGACUUGGACAGAAGUUUUUUUUUCCAGUAGCAACAGGAAACUACUGCACGUACUUCAGCUGUGGACAGUGGUUAUUCUCUGGGGAGCUGAGAACGAAGAUUGGGGUCUAAGAGAGCUUUUACUCUCCAUUCUUCUGUAAUAUGUGAACGUUUUGUUUUAUUACAGAUUUAUGAAGUAACUUUAAUCAAAAUAGCCCUUAAAAGAUAAACUAGGAGUUCCCUGGUGGCCUAGUGAGUUAAAGAUCUGGUGUGGUCACUGCUGUGGCUUGAGUCAUUGCUGUGUCGUGGUUUUGAUCCCUGGCCUAAGAACUUUUUGCAUGCUAUGGGUGCAGCCAAAAAAAAAGAGAGAGAGAGAUAAACUAUGUAAUAUUAAGUGAAAAGACAAAGUGUAAAAAAUUGUGUAUGGAAUAAUUUCUCAACCAUGUAAAAACUGGACAAAGAUAAGAAAGAAGCUUACCAAAAUGUUAGCAGCUUUGGGUCCUAAGUAGGGAGAUUGUGGAUGUUCAGGAUUCAUUUUUCUGUUCAUUCACCCUAGUUAUCCAUUGAGCAUCUACUCUGUGCUAGAGAAUGUGCUAGGAGCUGAGAUUGCAGGUGGAAAUGAAAUAGACAGGACCCUUGCCUUCAUGGAACUUAUCCAUGGUAGAGAAGGCAGAUAUUAAACAAUCACCCAAAUUAUUAAUUAAUUAUAUUGUGGUAAGUUCAACAAAGGAGAAGUACAGGUGACAUCAUCAUGUCCUUGGGGAGACUAACCUAGGCAGGGACUGCUUUCCUGAGGAACUGAGAACCGAAGGAUGAAUGGGA
rnacentral:lncRNA from 1 species